CUAGCCCAGACAAUGACUAAUCAAACUACUACAGGCCAAUUAAAUAAAACAUUCAGUAAUACAAUUAAAGUAUAGGAGAUAGAAAUUCUUUUAAUCGGAGCUAUAGAGGAAGUACCGCGAGGGAGUGAUGAGAAGACUACUUAAAGUGAGAGGCAGCGAAGAUUACCCCUUCUACCUUUUGCAUAUUGAGUUAGCCAGAGAUAAUCUCACAAAGAGAACUUAAGCUAGGUCCCCCGAAACCAGACGAGCUACCUAUGAACAACCUACUGGGGUAAACUCAUCUAUGUUGCAAGAUAGUGAGUAGAUUUAUAGGUAGAGGUGUGAAGCCUAACGAGCCUGGUGAUAGCUGGUUGCCCAGAACAGAAUUUUAGUUCAACUCUAAACUUGCCCACACCACUUGAAAUGAUUAAUGCAAGACUGUAAUAUAUCCCCUCAAGGACCAGCUUUUUAGAAUCAAAGAAUCAACCUUACUUAGAGAGUAAUUAUUAUACUAA
rnacentral:rRNA from 1 species